AUGACCCCUUAGGUACCAGUCAGGACUGGCAGACUUUAAUGUGGAGAACUUCUGAAACAGCAGUUCUCAAAAUGUUAUCUGCAUCACCCAGGAACUUGUAACCAUGCAAAUUAUCAGCCACCCAGACUUACUGGAUCAUAAACUGUGGGGCCCAGCAGCCUGUGUUUUAACAAGCCCUUCAGGCUGGAGUAUAGUGGCAGGAUCAUAGAUCACUGCAGCCUCAAACUCCUGGGCUCAAGCAAUCCUCCCACCUCCGCCUCCAUGUAGCUGGUGGGGAUCAAGUUUCUAACACGUGAAUCUUGGGAGACACAUUCAGACCAUCGCAGUGGCCUUAUACAAAGACACACAAGAGCUUGCCCUCUGCCAUGUGCGUAUACCACAAGAAGACUGGCAUCAGCAAACCAGAAAGCAGGUGGACCCUCAGCAGACACCAAAUGCUCCUGCACCUUGAUCGUGGACUUGCCAGCCUUCAGAACAUUCUGUCUCUCUGGAGAAACUUUACUAAUACAGCUGUUAAUAUUUACAGCUGCUUCAUGGAGGACAUUCGUUCUCAACCCCAUCACACACAGAUACAUGUGUGGCCACCUGAGAGCCAGGUCCUUCAGUGUCCACAGACAUAGCCCUGCCACCUACCACCUGCUUCCCAGAGCAGAUGAAGCUUCUGCCAACUCAGGCUUAUCCCAGUCUCUAUUUCAGGCCAUCGACUGGAUGAAGAAUUAAUUUAACAAGCAUGAAACAGCUUGCAAAACAUUGGUGAGUGGCUGAGGGCCACGAAAUGAGACCCCCGUGUGGCCCGUCUUUGAAGAUGAAUCCAACAGCAGUGACUCUCCCUGUGUCCUCCCCCCAUCUUGUUUUCUGCUUUUCCAUACAAUGGCUUAUUCACUGCAUGUGACAUCAUCACUGGCACUAUGUUGAUCUAUCAAAUUUCCUGUUUUGUGGGUUUGUUUUGGAUUAAAGGUCUACUGAUCUGA